GCUGAGAAGACAGGAACCCUAGCAGCUGAUGCUAAGUUCAGACUAAACUCACUGCAAGUCCCCGGGGAAAGUCACAAGAAAAUGCCUGUACUGCUCAUCACCUCAUAAAGAAGUCGGGAAAGGCCAGUUCAUGCAUGAAGGAGACGGACAAGGAUGACCACUCGUGUUGAUUGCUCGACUUCACAGUUCCCUGCUAGCAUCCUUUCUCUUGCCUUGCUAUCACGGAUGCCAUUAUUUCUGAAUUCCAAACAGGGCACCUGUGUCAAGCUGGAUAGGAACAGAGAGACACUCAAGAAACUCAUGAGAGAAGGUGGCUCAGUUCUACCCAGAAGUGUCAGCAGGUUUGAACUCGUCUUUCUCUCGACUCUAUUCUGACAGUCACAGGAAGCCUGGUCCCCUUUGACACUCACCGCACGCUGACAGAUCCUCCCCCGGAAAGACUCGACAGCAGCAAACACAUGCAUUGUUCUUCCUGUCAACCCGCUAUUGAAAGGUGAUCUACAGCUGAGCGGCAGUCGCCCUCAUUUGGGAGUGUUCCCGGGCAUGAGGCUGAAAGCUUAUUACCCCAGAAAGUGAAAGCCGAGAACAUAAGUUCCUCAGAUCAGACUACAGCAUCAGGGGGUUGUCAGCAGCUCCAAGGGGAGGGAGGCACUGUCUCCAGCUGGGCAUUGAGGCUCCUCCCUCCUCCCUGUGUUCCUUACCCACCCACCUCACCAUGGACAGCUCAUCCCCAGAGAGCAGAGUCUAGAAAGCGCAGGGGUCUCGGUUGCAGGGCUUUCAGAAGUUCUCCAGACACGUGCCCCUAUGGAAGAAAGGGUCUCCCUGAAAUCAAGAUGUGACCCACCUCAGCAUCAUACAUUUGGAAACGUGUAGAACUUGACUCAACGUUAUUUGUUGGUCUACCUCCGCUAAACCAUGGGCUCCUUAAAAACCUAUUAAGGGCAGGAGCAUUGGCUUUGGUUGGGUCCAAGAGCUGGCUUCAUCAUCUAUUUCUCAAGGUCAGCUCUCAUAUCUUUCCACAACUCAAUUCCCUACACAAUUAAAGAAAAAACAAUAUAAUUCUGUUCGUCUAAAAUUCGUGUGUAAAUGCUGAUUCCCAGGCACCUUGUAUUUGACUGCAUUUAGAGUUAUGCUUAUUGAAGAGGUUAUUGUGAGCAAGUGAAGCACCAUUUGACAACUAGAGGACAAGGACCCAUAUACAUCCAGAGGAAAGACCACAAGGCCACGAAAGGAGGAGGAGCUGAUGGUAUCCAAGUCAAGGAAAGGGGCCUCAGUAGAAGCCUAAUGAUGCCUUGGGCUUGGACUCGCAGCCUCUAGAACUGUAAGAAAAUGAAUCUGUGCUGUUUCCCCUUUCUUAGGGCUCAGUAGCCUCAGCAACUGAUACCCAGUGCUGGGAGCUAGAGCUCCUUCAGCAGGAGUGAGCUGUAUCCUGUGAAAAACACUCAGAAGGGGAGCUGGGGGCAGUUCUCAGUGGGUAGAGCACUUGCUGCUCUUGAGGAGGACCCCAGUUCCAUUUCCAGCACCCACAUGGUGGCUCACAACCACC